UCCCAGUGGCUCAGUGGUAAAGAAUUUGCCUGCCAAGCAGGAGAUGCAGGUUCAAUCCCUGAGUUGGGAA
rnacentral:tRNA from 1 species